UUUCAUCAUAAUAUUUCACUAACACACUUAAGGACACUUUUUAAAAAUGCACUUUUUAAUAAUAUCUAAUUAAUUUGAACUUAUAGUAAGUAAACUUUCAUUAUAAUAUUUAUAAACACAAUUAAGUGCACUUUUAAAAUGCACUUUGUAAUAAUAUCUAAUUAAUUUGAACUUACAGUAAGUACACUUUCAUCAUAAUAUUUCACUAACACACUUAAGGACACUUUUUAAAAAUGCACUUUGUAAUAAUAUCUAAUUAAUUUGAACUUAUAGUAAGUACACUUUCAUCACAAUAUUUCACUAACACACUUAAGGACACUUUUUAAAAAUGCACUUUGUAAUAAUAUCUAAAUAAUUUUAACUUAUAGUAAGUACACUUUCAUCAUAAUAUUUCACUAACACACUUAAGGACACUUUUUAAAAAUGCACUUUGUAAUAAUAUCUAAUUAAUUUGAACUUAUAGUAAGUACACUUUCAUCACAAUAUUUCACUAACACACUUAAGGACACUUUUUAAAAAUGCACUUUGUAAUAAUAUCUAAAUAAUUUUAAAUUAUAGUAAGUACACUUUCAUCAUAAUAUUUAUAAACACACUUAAGUGCACUUUUAAAAAUGCACUUUGUAUUAAUGUCUAAUUAAGCUUAACUUAAAGAAAGUACACUUUCAACAUAAUAUUUAUAAACACACUUAAGUGCACUUUUAAAAAUGCACUUUUUAAUACUGUCUAAUUAAGCUUAACUUAUAGUAAGUACACUUUCAUCACAAUAUUUCUUAACAUACUUAAGUACACUUUUUAAAAAUGCACUUUGUCUAAUUUAGUUUUACUUAAAUGUAACCCUGGUUAAAUAAUUAAAUAUUAUUAUUUUAAAAGUGUGCUUAAAAAUAAUAGAGACUAUUCAUACAUCUACAUUUAUUUUAUAAAUGAGGAAAUACAUGUGAAUAAUUCAAUCUGAAUUAUAAAUCUGAAAUGAGUAAACCAAUCGGAGUGUUUAAUUGUAAGCUCCGCCCCUUUUUUGCUUUCGGAUCGCGUCUCAGUUCAGAGGAGAGAUGCAGAGCGACAGAGACACUCGAUCUAACGCGAGAGUGUUUAAUUUGAUUAAAUAUGACUCCUAAGUUCAUAUAAACUGAAGAAAUCAGAAUUUAACUUGCAUAUAUUCAAUGAUACAGCGUGAUUGUGUGGAUUGAGCACUUUUGAGCUUUCAUUUUGACCUGUGUGAUUAUGUAAAACCACAUGGUGCGUUGUGUUCGCUGCUGUUCGCUGACGCCAUUUUGGUUGCACGUGCCUGUGAAAGACAAAAAGAGAGAGAAACACGUGAAUGGACAGGUAUUUGUCUAAAUUGUCAUUUAUUAUGAUGAUGGCACUUAUGUAUGUAUUUUAUUUGUUUCCUGUAUUGUGUACAAUUGUUCAUCAUUAUUGAUACACAAUAUUGAAUGUUUUUUCCUUUCGUAUGAACAUUCCUUGAGCUGGAUUUUCCUAAUUGAUGGCGAGCCUCCCAUUUCGACCUGAUUGGAUCACGAAUCUAGAGGAAAGGACAAAUUUCUAUUUUAAAUAUUUUUCUUCAGACAAGUAAGAGGAUACAUUUCAGAAACUGUUUCCUUAUUUUGUUUGUUUGUUUACUUCAUUGAACUGAAACAUUUCAGAAGCACAAAUCUGAUAAUUUAAGACUGAUCAAUACUCCAAUUGAUAAGAACUUUGAACUUGAAUACGGAUUUCAGUGUGUUACAUAUAUAAUUUGUACCAUCUUUGUACAUUGAUUGUGACUGUGAUUUCUGUAAAUGAGAAGUAAUUUAGAGGGUGCACCCAUAGUAUAUAUCCCCCUUCUUCAAAUCUUACCCUGGAGGUCCGGAGCACUACAGAGUUUAGCUCCAACCCUGAUCAAACACACCUGAGCAAGCUAAUCAAGGUCUUCAUGAUCACUAGGAAAUCACAGGUGGGUAAGUUUGAUUAGGGUUGGAGCUAAACUCUGUAGUGCUCUGGACCUCCAGGGUAAGAUUUGAGGAACCCUGGUAUAUAUAGUUAAUUGUAUUUUCAUUGUUGUUUACUAUUUUUUUGUGAUUAAGGAAAGAAAAAGAAAGGUUUCUCAAUACUCAAAGUAAAAUAAUUUAUUAAUCAACUUA